AUUGAACGCUGGCGGCAGGCUUAACACAUGCAAGUCGAGCGGAGAUGAGGUGCUUGCACCUUAUCUUAGCGGCGGACGGGUGAGUAAUGCUUAGGAAUCUGCCUAUUAGUGGGGGACAACAUUCCGAAAGGAAUGCUAAUACCGCAUACGUCCUACGGGAGAAAGCAGGGGAUCUUCGGACCUUGCGCUAAUAGAUGAGCCUAAGUCGGAUUAGCUAGUUGGUGGGGUAAAGGCCUACCAAGGCGACGAUCUGUAGCGGGUCUGAGAGGAUGAUCCGCCACACUGGGACUGAGACACGGCCCAGACUCCUACGGGAGGCAGCAGUGGGGAAUAUUGGACAAUGGGGGGAACCCUGAUCCAGCCAUGCCGCGUGUGUGAAGAAGGCCUUAUGGUUGUAAAGCACUUUAAGCGAGGAGGAGGCUACUGAGACUAAUACUCUUGGAUAGUGGACGUUACUCGCAGAAUAAGCACCGGCUAACUCUGUGCCAGCCGCCGCCGUAAAAC
rnacentral:rRNA from 1 species